GCUGUGAGAGAUUUUAUGUAGCAAAGAAUGCGGUUGACGAGGGCAAGGUGUGGCUCCCAAGGGUUGUGCAUGAAAAGGCACGCUUGCUGGCCCAUAUAGGCUAGGUCGGGGCAGGUGAAAGUAAGGUACUGUAGCACCCCAGCGAGGCUACGGUACUCGGAUGGGUCAGCGGCUAGGGCACGAUUUGUAGCUGAGAGCUUGGACUUGGAGUCCAUAGGCGUCAUGAUGGGAUGGCACUAGGACAUGCCAGCAUAUUGGAGAAGCUCAAAAACAUACUAGCAUUGCGGGAGAAACAAUUAGUUAGAGGAGUGAGUGACAGAGAUGCCGAGGAAGUGGUGAAGUGCCCUGAGAUCAGUCAUCAUGAACUCCAAGCUAAGGCGCACAAUGAUGUGACAUAGGAUGUCCGAAUAGGAGGCUGUUAGGAUGAUGUCAUCAAUGUAGAGCAGCAAGUAGGUGACACUGUCUCGAUCUUUAUAAAUAAAGAGAGAUGCGUCACUAGCAGCGGGUGUGAUGACCAUAGACUUUGGAUUUUUUAGGUACUGAAAAGGUCUAGAUAAAGUGAGUGAAAUCAUCUAGCAUGACUAGGUAAUAUUUAUAGCUAGAAGUCCCAUCACAAUAAAUAAUUUUGAAAGAUGCCGAAGUGGUGGAUCGGAGGAGAACGAGCAAAAGGGAGACAUGUGUGUUAGCCUAGCUGACAUCUGUUGGGACACAGAUAUCCAGGUCAUGAAGGCAGGCCCCCCAUUUAUCCCUCUUUGCCAAAACAACUAACAGCUAAUCUAGGACAUGUAUUGUUGUGUUCUUUUGGCAGGAAUCUUGCAGGUACCUUUGCUUGUGUCAGGCUGUGCGAGGCACAGAACUUGAAAAGACAUCACCAACGAGGGCUCGGAGCUUGCAAUAGGGUAACACCUAGGUAGACGCAAUGAAGAUCACUGGGGAAGGAAGACAAGCACACUCGGGAGCAAACAAGAGCUGGUGGAGGCAAGCCUUCGUCGUCCAUUGAGGGGCCUCAAGAGGGCGCACGCUUUAGAUCUCCAAUGGGCCUUCAACGGGCUCAAAAUAAGGCCCAUGAAGCAAGACAUUUAGCAGGGAAAACGCCUAAGAUGCCCCUAGAGGCUUGUGUGUAUGGGUAAAUCUCAAAAAUAUGCGUGACCGUUCGUAGGAUAUAAAUGUAAAAGAACUUCACUCUGUACAGUGACCUAUAAAAGGGGAGAGCAAACCCCAUAUAAAAGAUAGACCAAUGAAUCAAUCAAACCAUAAUUGUGCCACAAAACAUGUUGCUUGUAUCGACCUUCACCUAUGCCAGAGACCACUAGUCUGCUGGAGAUAAUUUCCCCGACAACAUGCAUGACACAAAGAGGUAUCCUGCUUAUUGCAGGAGAUGACUGACAUAUUUUGUGUGUGUGGAUAGCAUUUGGAGCAGGAUGGAUGAGGCGACAAUGCCACAAGGCUGUCGACAAUGCCUUAUAGGUCACUGUUGAUGUUGCAAUGAAGGUUCGGUUGCUUAGAGUGGAGAUUUUUAAUGAGAAUCCUAGAGCGUCAAAUUUGACAGAAUAAUGGUUGUCACGGGUAAAUUGAUGAACCGGAAGAAGGUUAUGAAUUAAUGAAGGUGCGACAAGGACAUUAUUCAAGAUGAAAUUCGACUGCGGGUGUGGGUAGAGUAGAAAUGCCUCACAAUGAGACAAGGAGAUUGUUGCCAUUCACCUCGAUGAUGUGAGGAGGAGAUGAAGAAAAACAAGAGAGAAGUAUACCAUCUGUAGUCGACAUAUGGGAUAUCGUGCGUGUGUCAAGGAUCCAAGCGUUCUAAUUGUGAGGCGGCACACCAUGUGACAUGAAGGUGGUAUGAGACUAUGGAGGUGUGAAGGUGGCAAUAGUCUGUGGAGCUAGCACAAGAAUGUUGUGGCUGCACCGGGCCAAGGCCUACAGCUGCUGGCGAGGUAGAGGACCAGAGGUACACAGAGUGGUCGACAUGGUGGGAGACAGGUGCGAUGUGGAGGGGAAAUAGAGGUGCAUGGGAGACAGUGGACAGAUGAGGAGAGCAAAGACUUCUGCACAGCAGGCAGAGUGCUCGAAGAGAGCAGAGGAGAUACGCAUGGAUGAAAGCAUGCAGGAGGGGAUGCACGAGCAGAGCGCACAUGCAAAGCAAAGGAAUGAGAGACGAAAGGAUGUGAGGCAACGAAGCUACUCCAUGGAAAGGAGAGAUGAGAGGGAGGGGAGGCACAACAGCCUAAAGGCCGAUGGCACGGAGAAGAACUAGGCCAGCAGCACAGAGGAGCGAGGGGAGGUGGACGCGCAGACGUGGGUGAGGGUAGAGGCAGGAAGAAAACCUAGGUGGUUGAUACCAUGUGAAAAAGGAAGGGAGAGAACACCUCGCCCCAAUUAGGAAGGGGUGACUUCCAUAUAUAUAGCCACAAGGCCUCAGCACAUUUCUUCUUGUAUGUACAGUUGCGACACCAAUAUAAAAAUUCAGAUGGUUACGAGCAGAUGUAUUUAGGUUCUUGAUGUUUCAAUUUCACCCAUCCAAUGCAGCGGAAUGAGAUGCGUGACUAGUCUACAAAUGUUUAGGAAUGGGAGGCACUAGAGAAAGUUUAGUUCAGAGUUGCACCACAUGCUUCUUAACUUCCUAGCUUGAGAGCAUCAGAGUGUAUGGAGAAGUGUUGUGUUGUGGCAAUGGGAGGCCGCAUAAGGGGAAGUUCUACACAUGCAUGGUUGCACCACAUGUAAGGCUUGAUUGGCCUACUAGUGGCCACAUCACGUAUACUUGUGACAGCAUGCUACCUAGGAAAAAACUUGAUGCAGUAGUACGGUUCCUGGGAAAUACCAUGAGGUGCCAGAAAUUAUAUAAAUCUUAGCUCCAAAAUUCUUGAUGCAGUAGUAUGUUGUCCAACCUCACAUUAGUAUUUCAUGCAUCCGUCAUCAAUCAUCAACCAAACAAGUGUCCUUUUGCACAAAACUGGCACUGAAUCUCAACUGUGUGCUCUACCUGCUUCCUCCCCAAUAUAAUGUACAUAUUCUGAGGGAUAUAUGCCAAACACAUGAGACAUAUGAAUGUCAGUUUAUAUACAAAGGUAAAAUGUCACAUUUCGUCUAGAACAGUUGCCAUAUCAGUCUAGACUACAGAAUGUGGACACUUAUGUCCGGAUUGAUCGAUAUUUUUGCCAUUAUUUGAUAAGUUUAUCCAAUGCAGAAAAAUGAGAUGUCUAAUCAUAGAAUCAUCAAGUAUUUGGGAUCGGGAGGCACCAAGGGAAGUAUUAUAUAUUUGGGUUUCCAAGAGCACCCGAGGCUUGUAAAAGAAGCGGAGUCUUGCAAACUCCGUCCAAGGCCACCAAUGCAACCUCGUCCCUCCUCCCCACCCAUUCACGCAGCAACCAAUGGCCUAGAGAUUGCAGCCCAUAUACCCCAUUGCCCCAGGUAGGCAAUCCAGACUCGUUGAACCAUCAGCUCCUUCAAGAAAGGUGGAGACGCGCGCCCGCGGGGGGUUGGGGGAGAGGAGGACGUGACAGCAGUGCUUUUGGUGGUUCGGGAAAUAACUGGCAUGUGUAUUAAUAAUGGAUGCAAUGAGGGAGAAGAAUACAUAGGUUACUACUACUUUGUGCGCUACCAUGAGUCUGCACAAGCAAGGAAGGCCAUUGCACAGUUUAGCAAUGUUAAUGUUGUGGUUGAGCCAAUUAUUCAGUAAAUUCAUUACUUAUAUUGUUGGAUUUGACAACUAAAAAGGGACAAGAUACAUAUAUGGCAUUGUUGUGCGUAUACAUCAGUAAUUUGUGCCACCUCGCCAAAAUAUUCAUUCAUCAUCAACCAAAUAAGUGUCCUGCUUUUGCACAAGCUAGCAUCGAUUUUUUUUGUGAAUCAAUUAUAGAUGAAGAUGAUCAUCACUUCUUAACUGUGUGUACACCAUUCUUUACAAUACAUUAUAAAGAUUUCACAAUGCCAGCCUUGGGAGGCAAAAAGAUAUCGACAUAUAUAGAGGCAAAAUGACGUAUUUCCUUUGGUAUGGUUGCCACAUCAAUAUAGACUAAAGGAUGUGAAUUGUGUCCAGUCCAGAUUAAUUGGAUCUCUUAUAUUAGACUUUGAUGAGUUUUCACAAUGAAGAAUAGGAUGCCUGAAGAUGGAAUCCACCACGUGUUUGAGAUUGGGAGGCACCAGGAAAAGUAUUAUUCAGGCUUCUAUGAGCACCUGAGUCUUGUGGAAGCCUGAAUGGCAGCCGCACCAUGCAGAGCGCGGGGCAACAGUAGCUAGCAAGUUUGAUAACAAAAAAACUAGCCGGCAUCCCUGUGCAGUUGCACAGGUUAGGAUCCAUUACAAAAUACUAACGGGUGUGUACUGUUCAUUGGAUCCAUUACUGUUAAACAUUACUGUUAAACAUAACGGGUACGCCCGUUACUAUUUAGCAUAACGGGUGUACUGUUCACUGGAGGAUAACGGUUGCACUGUUCACUGGAUCCAAUCCGUUAGUGUUAUACUUAAUGGGUGUACUGUUCAUAGGAUCCGUUACUGUUAAUGUACAGUAAAUUGUGAGAGAGGCAGUGGUAUACAGGGUAAGGGGUAGAUACUAGCAAGGCAGUUGUUUAUUUAAUGCUAUCCGGAAUAGGAGAAGGGAGGGAUUCUCUCCGUUUGGAAAACACCGCGAGUAAGAGGCAGUGGUAUACAAUUAUAAGGGUAAGGGGUAGAUACUAGCAAGGCAGUUGUUUAUUUAAUGCUAUCCGAAAUAGGAGAAGGGAGGGAUUCCCUCCGUUUGGAAAACACCGCG
rnacentral:lncRNA from 1 species